GACGAACCGUACGAACGUUAUUCGGAAUUACUGGGCUUAAAGGGCGCGUAGGCGGUUCGCUAAGUUGAAUGUGAAAACUCUGGGCUUAACCCAGAGCCUGCAUUCAAUACUGGCGGGCUAGAGUUCUGGAGGGGAUAGCGGAAUUCCUGGUGUAGCGGUGAAAUGCGUAGAUAUCAGGAGGAACACCGGUGGCGAAGGCGGCUAUCUGGACAGAGUCUGACGCUGAGGCGCGAAAGCUAGGGGAGCAAACAGG
rnacentral:rRNA from 1 species